rnacentral:rRNA from 1 species
UACGUAGGGUGCGAGCGUUGUCCGGAAUUAUUGGGCGUAAAGAGCUCGUAGGCGGUGUGUCACGUCGGCCGUGAAAACCUGCAGCUUAACUGUGGGCGUGCGGUCGAUACGGGCAUCACUGGAGUUCGGCAGGGGAGACUGGAAUUCCUGGUGUAGCGGUGAAAUGCGCAGAUAUCAGGAGGGAACACCGGUGGCGAAGGCGGGUCUCUGGGCCGAUACUGACGCUGGAGGAGCGAAAGCGUGGGGAGCAAACAGG